CCUAACACAUGCAAGUCGAGCGGUAACAUUUCUAGCUUGCUAGAAGAUGACGAGCGGCGGACGGGUGAGUAAUGCUUGGGAACAUGCCUUGAGGUGGGGGACAACAGUUGGAAACGACUGCUAAUACCGCAUAAUGUCUACGGACCAAAGGGGGCUUCGGCUCUCGCCUUUAGAUUGGCCCAAGUGGGAUUAGCUAGUUGGUGAGGUAAUGGCUCACCAAGGCGACGAUCCCUAGCUGGUUUGAGAGGAUGAUCAGCCACACUGGGACUGAGACACGGCCCAGACUCCUACGGGAGGCAGCAGUGGGGAAUAUUGCACAAUGGGCGCAAGCCUGAUGCAGCCAUGCCGCGUGUGUGAAGAAGGCCUUCGGGUUGUAAAGCACUUUCAGUCAGGAGGAAAGGUUAGUAGUUAAUACCUGCUAGCUGUGACGUUACUGACAGAAGAAGCACCGGCUAACUCCGUGCCAGCAGCCGCGGUAAUACGGAGGGUGCGAGCGUUAAUCGGAAUUACUGGGCGUAAAGCGUACGCAGGCGGUUUGUUAAGCGAGAUGUGAAAGCCCCGGGCUCAACCUGGGAACUGCAUUUCGAACUGGCAAACUAGAGUGUGAUAGAGGGUGGUCAGAAUUUC
rnacentral:rRNA from 1 species